AUCACACUGGCGACUGGGGUGGGAGGUUAAUUGUGACAGAGCUUCCAUGAUUUGUUCAGGAAAAAUAGGAUUGGAGCCAGACAAGGCUAGGGCUGGGGUCAACCCGGGGUCUCAACUGUUUCCUGUCAGCCUGACCUGGGUGGUACUGACAGAGGGAGGGAGAAAGGGGUCUGUUCAGUCUAAACUGGGUUCUGGAGUUCCUUGCUUCAGGAUUAAGCUGAAAAGUAGGCUAUAAUACUUCUAUUAGUGUAAUAUUACAUUUAUAAAGUAGGCCCUAUCUUGGUCAGUCUGUCUGUCUGUCUCUUUCUCUUUCUCUCUCUCUCUCUCUCUCUCUCUCUCUCUCUGUCUGUCUCCCUUUGUCUCCCUCUGUCUCUCUCUCUAAAGUGAAUAUUUAUUUCUCAUAGCUAUGUAGCUGACGUUACUGUGAGCUGCAUCCAAGACCCAAAACAGUGUGUCACUGGGAAAACAUUUUCCUCUCUCCUCUCCCUCUCUCCUCCUCUGAAGGCCAGCCUCUCUGUGUCGUCUAUCAGCCUGGUGUGUUUAGAGCUAGCCACAGGGUCAGAACAGAGCAGAGAAAGGCAUCUACCCCAUCUACUCCUAUUUCUCUCAUUCUCUCACUCACAAUACUCACAAAUCUCUCUUCCUUUCUCCCCCUUUUACCUCCCAGUCAUACAAUAGACUUCCCCUGUACGGUCCUGCCCAGAAGAAAGAACAGGGGGAUACAGUUUCCACAACAAUGGAAAUUCAAUCAGGAAAUGGAGAGGAGUUGGAGGUGGUGAGUGGCGAGUCAUUAGCGACCUCGGGCUCCGUUUCCUCCUCGACGUAUCUCUCUGUCCCUCAGGCAGACGGCACGGACGACCAAGUACUCCGGGAGGACCUCCAGGCUGCCAAGACCAUUGAGAGGUUUGACAUCCCUCUGAGUAACUUGAAGAGGAUGUUUGAGAAGCCCCCAGGAGCAGCCAACACUGGUUCCAAUAUGACGACUCUCAAACCUUCUUCUACUGCAUCAUUCAAGUCAAGGAAAGCGGGAUAAAGACAUACUUUUACUCUACGACGCCCAUUUGGAAUUCAUCCUUUAUUUUGCAUGACCAAAAUUAUCUGUCAUUAUCUUGUAUCUUAAUUUUGAGAACACGGAUACUUGUCACUGUUGAAUUCUUCCUUUGAAUCUGACCUUUCUAUUUGACAUUUGAUUCUUAAUGAAUGAUAAUCCAAUUUGCCGUUUCCUUUCAAUUUCCUCUGCAGAAGAUUUCAUUCCCGUUUUUCAUUUUCGUUCUGUGUUGCCCAUGGUGUUAAAGUGCUUUUUUAUUCCCCCAAAUCAGAUGAAUUCUGUCCCCUUUUGGGGCAAGGUGACCUGAGAAACAAUAAAGCAGAAUAUUAAUAUUUGAUUAAUACCCCUUUAGAACACUUAAAUAAAGGAGACCUUGAAUGAAGCACAAUCAUCUGGCUGUUCAUUUGUCUCUGUUUCACUCUGGUUUCUAAUAACAUUCUCAGCCACACAUUAUUCACAGGCAACGGGAAGGUCAUCUUCUUAUCUCUGAUUUAGUCGUCUAACAAAAGCCUGUGUCAGUUCAACACAGGGCCAGUGUUCACAGAUCACAGAAAGGAAAGGUUUGCAGCUCACUAUAAAACAUGACUCUGUCUCUUGCCUUAUCUGUAGGGUUGUAAUGCAAAUGUCAGCUUUGGUGGGAUAUUGUAUUAUUUAUACAGUGGAAUGCCUGGGAUGUCAUGGAGAGGUUAGUCAUAACAAUGGAGGAUGGAUCAUCGCCGGGUGGCCGUAUAAGUAGUGCCAAAACUUCACUGAUUCCACUGUAGAGGAGGACAGGCAUGUUUCCAUUAUCCACAGAUGUGGAGUGAUGCAAUAGUUUAUGUUCGGAGCAAAGAGUUCCUUUUUUUGCUCGAGUGGACUAGCUGACUAGCCGACCCCCUUCUGU
ensembl:lncRNA